GCAACCCGUUGAUUUUCCGGCUAAUCCGCGCUAACGUGUUGAUUCUAAACGUCGACUUUUAGGACUCCGAAGGCAGGGGUCGUGGGUUCGAAUCCCGCCGAGUGCGCCA
rnacentral:tRNA from 1 species